GGGAGCAAGCUCCUGCUUUUGGCCUUGGCUGCAGAUGAUGGACAGGCUGGUGGUACCCAUGCUUGUAGACUGCUUUGGAGAAUGGGAUCCAGAAUGGGAGCUGGUGCAGAUUUCACAGCACUAGGGGUGGUCUUUGUGGCAUCCCGGAUGAAAAGGCAGAAGGAGCAGCAGAUACAACAGGCAUUCCAGGGGUUCCACAUUCUUUCUCUGGUCUCUUCACCGUCCCAAGAGCUGUAAAGCCUUUUCCAUCUAGAAGUCUGCUACCCCUGUGUCACAUAGCUGUAGAAAGAACUUAACCCUGAUGGUUCACGUAGUGAGCAAGAAUGUUUGCAGGCUGGAGCUAGACCUGAUGCUGAGCACGGAGACAAGUCCCACCUCCCUCAGAAGAGACCGUGCUGGUCGCUAAGGGGCCAUCUCAAUGUGAACAGUUCGCCACCCAGAUUGCCCUGGAACUCCUGCAUAGACAGCCUGGCCUCCAACUUGAAGCAACCCUUCUGUUUUAGCCCCCAGGGUGCAGGGAUUAAAGCGAAAGAAUGAGAAGUCACCUGAAUGUCCAAGAACUGGAAACAAGUUCAGUAAAUGAUGGCAUACAACCUGGUGGUAAGAGGCCUUCCAAGAGGUUCACUAAGAAUAAUGACCUGAGAAAACGCUCCUUGCUGUUCCAAUGAGAAGGAAGAAAAACAAUCGGUUCGCUACUCCAACAUCGCUAAUCCAAAUGUCAACAGUGAUUAGCAAGCACCUGGGGUGGAAGCACAGGUGAUUUUCAUUUUCUUCUUGAUGUUCUCUUUCCCCUGCUUCCCACAUCCAUCCAUCCAUCCGUCAGUC
rnacentral:sRNA from 1 species